AAUCCUUAAGAAAAUUACAAGUGUGACUGCUGUGUCACCUGUGCAUUAGCUGGUGGCAGAGAGGAGAGAGGCUAUGUCUACACUCGAUGUUCUGACCUGUGAACAUCUGAAAGCCUGAAACAACCACCAGU